rnacentral:misc_RNA from 1 species
CUUAUGCUCAACUAAUCC